UUGAAGUUAAAUUCUGGUUUANUAUAAUUUAAAUUUAAAAUUAUAUUACAUGCAAUUUUUUAAUUGUUUUUAAUUUCUAAAUGGAAAUANUUUGAAUAAAUGCGCAGUAUUUAUUAUUAUUAAUUAAUAAUAUUAGAAUUAGUAAUUUUAUUUAAAAGAAUCAAAUUUCGUGCCAGCAGUUGCGGUUAUACGAUUUCUUUAAUUUAAAUAGUUAAGUUUCAGUUAAUAUAACAAUAAUAUAAAAUAUCUAUAAUUUUGGUGAAAUAUAUUUUAUCUUGAAAAAUUAAUUUUAUGUCUGAAAAAUUUUUGUUUAAACUAGGAUUAGAUACCCUAUUAUUAAAAAUGUGAUAAAAAUAACUUGAUUAUUAUUAGAAAUGAUCUUUAAAUUCAAAGAAUUUGGCGGUAAUUUAUCUUAUCAGAGGAACCUGUUUUAUAAUUGAUAGUCCACGAUAGAAAAAACUUUAAUUUAAUUUGUAUAUCUCUGUCAAGAAUGUUUUAUAAGAAAUAUUUUCAUACUAUNAUUACUUAUAUAUAAUGUCAGGUCAAGGUGCAGUUUAUAUUAAAGAAGAAAUGGGUUACAAUUAGCUAUUUAUUGAAUUAUUUUUUUUUAAGUUAAGAAAUAUGAAAUUGGAUUUGAUAAUAAAUUAAUUAAAUUUAAUUAAUUGAAAUUGGCUCUAAUUUAUGUACAUAUCGCCCGUCACUCUCAUAAUAUUAAUGAGAUAAGUCGUAACAAAGUAACUGUACCGGAAGGUGUAGUUAGAAAGA
rnacentral:rRNA from 1 species